GUAACGGCGAGUGAAGCGGCAACAGCUCAAAUUUGAAAUCUGGUCACCUUACGGAGGCCCGAGUUGUAAUUUGAAGAGGAUGCUUUUGGCGAGGUGCCUUCCGAGUGCCCUGGAACGGGACGCCACAGAGGGUGAGAGCCCCGUAUGGUUGGACACCGAGCCUAUGUAAAGCUCCUUCGACGAGUCGAGUAGUUUGGGAAUGCUGCUCAAAAUGGGAGGUAAACCCCUUCUAAAGCUAAAUAUUGGCCAGAGACCGAUAGCGCACAAGUAGAGUGAUCGAAAGAUGAAAAGCACUUUGAAAAGAGGGUUAAACAGUACGUGAAAUUGUUGAAAGGGAAGCGCUUGUGACCAGACUUGGGCCCGGUUAAUCAUCCAGCGUUCUCGCUGGUGCACUUGGCCGGCCCAGGCCAGCAUCAGUUCGGCGUGGGGGAUAAAGGCGGCGGGAAUGUGGCUCCUCCGGGAGUGUUAUAGCCCACCGUGUAAUACCCUGUGCUGGACUGAGGUUCGCGCAUUCGCAAGGAUGC
rnacentral:rRNA from 1 species